rnacentral:rRNA from 1 species
CUGCUGCCUCCCGUAGGAGUUUGGGCCGUGUCUCAGUCCCAAUGUGGCCGGUCACCCUCUCAGGUCGGCUACUGAUCGUCGCCUUGGUGAGCCGUUACCUCUCCAACUAGCUAAUCAGACGCGGGUCCAUCUCAUACCACCGGAGUUUUUCACACCAAACCAUGCGGUCUUGUGCGCUUAUGCGGUUUUAGCAGUCAUUUCUAACUGUUAUCCCCCUGUAUGAGGCAGGUUACCCACGCGUUACUCACCCGUCCGCCA